GCUGGUGUGGUGCAGCGGUUAGCAUAUCUGGUCAGAGAUCAGAAGACCCGGGUUCGAUUCCUGGUGUCAGCA